UACGGGGGGGGCAAGCGUUGUUCGGAAUUACUGGGCGUAAAGGGCUCGUAGGCGGCCAACUAAGUCGGAUGUGAAAUCCCCAGGCUCAACCUGGGAACUGCAUCCGAUACUGGAUGGCUUGAAUUCGGGAGAGGGAUGCAGAAUUCCAGGUGUAGCGGUGAAAUGCGUAGAUAUCUGGAGGAAUACCGGUGGCGAAGGCGGCAUCCUGGACCGACAUUGACGCUGAGGAGCGAAAGCUAGGGGAGCAAAUGGG
rnacentral:rRNA from 1 species